rnacentral:rRNA from 1 species
UACGGAGGGUGCAAGUGUUAUCCGGAUUCACUGGGUUUAAAGGGUGCGUAGGCGGGUAUAUAAGUCAGUGGUGAAAGCUCCGAGCUUAACUUGGAAACUGCCAUUGAUACUGUAUAUCUUGAAUAUCGUAGAGGUUAGCGGAAUGUUGCAUGUAGCGGUGAAAUGCUUAGAUAUGUUACAGAACACCAAUUGCGAAGGCAGCUAACUAUGCGACAAUUGACGCUGAGGCACGAAAGCGUGGGGAGCAAACAGG